rnacentral:rRNA from 1 species
GAUGAACGCUGGCGGCGUGCUUAACACAUGCAAGUCGAACGAGAAGUGAAGACGGAAACCUUCGGGCGGAAGGCUUUAUUUCGAGUGGCGGACGGGUGAGUAACGCGUGGGUAACCUGCCUCAUACAGGGGGAUAACAGUUGGAAACGACUGUUAAUACCGCAUAAGACCACAGCACCGCAUGGUGCGGGGGUAAAAACUCCGGUGGUAUGAGAUGGACCCGCGUUCGAUUAGCCAGUUGGCGGGGUAACGGCCCACCAAAGCGACGAUCGAUAGCCGAUCUGAGUGGAUGACCGGCCACAUUGGGACUGAGACACGGCCCAAACUCCUACGGGAGGCAGCAGUGGGGAAUAUUGCACAAUGGGGGAAACCCUGAUGCAGCGACGCCGCGUGAGUGUAGAAGUAUUUCGGUAUGUAAAGCUCUAUCAGCAGGGAAGAAAAUGACGGUACCUGAGUAAGAAGCCCCGGCUAACUACGUG